rnacentral:rRNA from 1 species
UACGGAAGGCAGCAGUGGGGAAUAUUGCACAAUGGGCGAAAGCCUGAUGCAGCUAUGCCGCGUGUAUGAAGAGGGCCUUAGGGUUGUAAAGUACUUUCAGCAGGGAGGAAAGAAAUAAAACUAAUAAUUUAUUUUGUGACGUUACCUGAAGAAGAAGCACCGGCUAACUCCGUGCCAGCAGCCGCGGUAAUACGGAGGGUGCAAGCGUUAAUCAGAAUUACUGGGCGUAAAGAGCGCGUAGGUGGUUUUUUUAAAGUCAGAUGUGAAAUCCCUAGGCUUAACCUAGGAACUGCAUUUUGAAACUGAAAAACUAGAGUAUCGUAGAGGGAGGUAGAAUUCUAGGUGUAGCGGUGAAAUGCGUAGAUAUCUGGAGGAAUACCUGUGGCGAAAGCGGCCUCCUAAACGAAUACUGACACUGAGGUGCGAAAGCGUGGGGAGCAAACAGGGAUUAGAUAC